CACCGUGAGGUGCAGGCGAGAAGAAGGGAUAGCGAAAUCGUAGCCUGACGAACAGAAACCUAAUACUAAGGCUUGCAUGGCGGAUAAGUGGGCUAAUAGUCACGAAGUCCAAAAGGCAAUCGUAACCCAUGCAGGUAAAUUAGGCAGGUAGACGAGGAAAGAC
rnacentral:ncRNA from 1 species